AUGAAGACAAAGAAACUCUGGACCACCCGCUGUCUCAACAACCUCAGAGAUUCUGAUUCUAGAGAACAACCCCUUUCCUGUAAGUCUCCCAGCGGCUACAGCGGGUUAUCAGCGCCCACAGGCGGCUGUCACCAAAAGGUAAGCCCCACAGUGUGAACGUCAGGAUACAGCAGGAGAACCGUUUAAACUGGGGCAUCUGGCUGCCAAACGGAUGCUUCUGCCUUGGUAGGAGGCUGCAUUAGGGCGCGGUAUUUGUUCAGGAUCAAGGCCCCAGCUGUCUAAUAGGUUCCAGAAAGGCUUGCAGGAUUCGCGUGUUGUGACCCCGCCCCCAGCCUUCGGGAGAGGCCGGGAACACUGGCCCCGCCGCCCGACCUCGAGGCUCCCCGGCAGGAAUCUCCCCAGGCUGGCGGGGAGGAGGCCCGCAGACGGGAGCCGGCCUGCCCCUCGGAGCUGGCACCUGCAGAGGUGAAGCCAACCUGCUCCCACCAGAGCCCAGCAAUGGCCAGUAAGAGAACAGUGAUGGGUUUAAGGAAGAGGACACAGGAAGCAGAAGAGAAGAGGGAAAAUUCAGUUUCAUCUGCCAAGAUUGACCUGUACAUUCCAGAAUUGCUUCUUGGCCCCUGGAACGUCGUGUGCAGGAAGAGAACAGAGACAGCAAAGCCAUGGAGUCAGCCCAGCUGAGGGAAGAUAGGUCUCCAGCGACUGGGUCAUCUGGCCCUGGGAAGCGCGACCCGGGGAAUAGAGGUCUCCAGCGACCGGGGCAUCUGGCCCUGGGAAGCACGACCCGGACUCUCUGCUUCUCAACAUAGCACAGCCUUCCUCACUUGGACAUACAGGGUGCACCUGUCAGGAGGAGGUGCCAACCAGGCCUCCCGAGUGACUUGGCCUGGUGAUCUCGUGUGGAGUCAAAGUCCUUCGAUCCCCCACCCCACCCCACUUUCCAAGUAAGGAAAUCCAAGGUCAUAGAUCCUGUA